rnacentral:ncRNA from 1 species
UAUUUUGCUUUGAACAAGAAUAGUAAUAUUGAAAUCAUCUAAAGAGAGCUGUUGUUUUGCUGAAAGACAGUGAUGAUAAUAUAUGAACUCACUUGGGAGCAUUGCUGCCAAAAAGCAGUACGGUUAAAACCGUUAUAUUGUAAAGUGAGGUUCUUACCUAAUUAGAGUGGUACCACGGAGUUUAACCUUCGUCUCUUUU